GUGGCUGGAUAGAAAGGGCAGAGUAAAUGGGGAACUUUUUAAGAAAUGAAAACACUAGAUGGAUGCAAUGCAAAUGAGAAAAGUGAAUGAAAAAGAGGGAAGCAAAGGCCAGAGGCAGUGGUUAAAUGUGAGAUUACGCGAAGUACAAAUGUUACAUGUCAAAAUUAGGGCAGCUCAUGACCUGGAGAAUUACAGAGCUCGCGUAUCAACCAAGUGUCCUUGAGGUACACGCACAGUCCUUGUGACUGUUUAUUUUGGGUUUGCCUGGAUUGUGUUGAAUUGGGUAUGUGUGUGAAGAACAUAGACUGUGUGACAGCAUUGUGCAUGUGGAGUCAUUUUUAUGAACUAAAUCCAACUUAAAAAUGAAUCAUUCUUUUGAUUCAGUUCAUUUUAUGAAUGGGGCAAACGGGUUAGCAACGAUUCAAAAUUCGAUUAGUUUGAAUCAUUUGGACAGCUCACUUGUGUACCGUAUAUAGCAGUUUCUUAGGGUCAUUCACACAGAAAGUGUUCCCGCCUUUAAAUACAUAAGACACAUGACAGUGGAAGAAAAACGUAAGAAAAAGGAAGCGUUAUUAAGGACUGGCAGAAGCAAUAUUCAAAUUUAAAAUUAAAAUACCUUAAUGAUGAAUUCAUUUUUUACAGACAUUUACAGACAGGUUAACUGAUGGAUUGGGGUCAUGUGAAUUACUCAUGGAUUAUUUCGAUGUUUUGAUCAGCUGUUUGGACUCUGACAGCACCUAUCCACUGCAGAGGAUCCAUUGGGUAAACUGGGAACGCUUGCCACUUAAAACCUAUGUGGUUUAAAAGAAGCUUAGAUUCAUGCAGAGUUCAGCCUGGAAGUUUCUACAGAUCCUGAAGACCCACAUCAGCUGCUUCAGUUGUGUUUCAUUUUGCCAAUUUGACUGGAAAGUGCCUUUAAGAAGAACUGAACGGAAAAGAGGCAGAGGUCUGAUGUAAGGCAGAUUUUUACAGCUUGAUCCACUGAACCACGUUGCGUGACUUCAGAAUCUUGAAACAAAUGAUGUUUUGACCCACUUUUACUUUUUUAAGAAAGUUUCUUUGAUCACAGAUUGUGUUGAACAGUUCUUAAAUACCAAAAUGACUCAAUUAGAAAGUGGUUUUCACUUUGUGAUAGUCAGGAUGAAAUAGCACUGAUGUAUUUGAAUUGUUAACACUUUUAGUUUUAAGUGUUUCAACAAAUCUGAUUUA